GUCAUUUUGAACGCGGAGGCUAAAGAAGAGGCUGUAAAGAAGAAAUAAAAUUGAAUAAAAGUUGGCUGAUUUGGGUCAGAACCCACAUGUGGUCUAGUCUGGUCUGACGUGUUCCAGUCUCCUGAGAUAGGGGGCGCUGUUUCUAAAAUGAGUCUCUCAGAGGAGCCAGAGAGCAAAGGUGGAACCCUCAGCACUGACAGAAAGAGGGUCCAGGUAGAAAGAGCAGGGUCACCUGUACCCAGCUGUCUGUCUAUGAAGAGUGAUCAGUCAAUGGAACCUCCACUCAAGCUUAGACGAGAGGUCACAG